UUCCCAAAUUAAUUGAGAAACCUAACCCUUGCUUCCCUCACCACACAGCCACAGCCUCACCCUUCCUUCAACGUAACAAACACACACGAACUCACCCUCUCUCCCUCAGCUUCACCGCGGCACACACAUACUCAGAACACCACACCCACUCAGUCCACACCCCUUCCGUCACACACCCACGCACUGUGAACGGAGUUACAUCGCUUCCAGCCCGCCUCGCCACCGCCGCCACCAUUAUUGCCGACGAAGAGGGACGCCGUCGACGCUGUUCAAGGAGGAAGGAGGAACCGAGCGAGACCCAGGGAAGGAGGGAGUCUCUGCUGCGUCACCACCGCGCCGUUGCCGCGCCUGGGUGCUGCUGUUGAAGCCACUCCUGCCGCCGCUGCUACUGGGGUUUACCGCCGUUGAUGAAGCUUCAGCCGCCGUUGAGGAAGGGAGCUCGAACGCCAUCCCUGGGAAGGAGGCUUGGCCGUCACCGAACAGAACGCGACAGUACUGAGAGACAUCACCGUUGUUGACGCCGGAGCUCGACAAGGGCUGUAGCGCCGUCACCAAACCACCGCGCCGCCGUAGCUGUCUCCGGGAAGGUCGUUGGAGCUUGCUGAGGAUAUUGUUCUGGUUCUGAAGCAAUUCAUCCAUGUCAGUGCUCAUUUUUAUCCCCUGUUCUGCCGCUGCCUCUGGGUUCUGCGAGUUGCUGGAGCCCUCUGCCACCGGGAACCAACAUUCAAGCUGCCCAGGAAACCACCAUUCUACUGUUUUGCUGCCGGCUCUGUUUGGAGACUGCUGCUAAGUCACCACCGAAGCUAAGAACAGGUGCUGGGAUCUGACGGAGCACCGCUGCUGCUAUGGAUUCUUAAUAUUGGUUUUGCUGCGUUUAAAUUCUUCAAUUUCGGCUAAUUGAGUGACACAGGUUUGAAGACGCAAUUUGAAGCUGCGAGCGAUUAGUAGGUUUUUCUUAUGGUUUUAAUUGGUCUCGUAGAGUUCCCUCGCUCUUGUCCCUUGAGAUUUUAUUUCAUAUAGAGGGGUAAGUUUAGUAUAUUGUAUUUGAGUUUCAUUUGGUUUCUUUUGUAUAAGAAUUAUUAUUAAUAAUAUUUAUGUGAUUAUUAUUACUUGUAAA